CCAUUUUUUCAAUAUUAAACGCAUCAAAGAACAAGCUUUGGGACUUAUUCUUUUAUAUUUCAGUAGCCUAUUUCUCAAAUUCUUCAAACAACUUUCCCAGCCCAUUCCUUGACUCAAUUCAGAUUCUUCGACAAAAUAAGAGACAAAUUACAAAAUCAACCCAGAAACGAAGCAAAAUCCAGAUAGAAAAAUCGUGACCCGACCCCUGCGCCAUCAUCUUCUUCUCCGCAUGAAUCCAGACUCGAAAAAUCCAGAAACGUGAUUUUUGCCAGAAUCUAGUCCAGCGCGUCGUUCUCUCCUCUCUCCUCAUCAUCUCUGUACAUCAUAUUGUCGGUUAGUCUAGGUGGAGCAAUCACACGCGAGAAUCGUCCUUGCUUUAUGAAUCAGACAACUCCCUUCUUUUUUCCGUUGACAAUUCAUACAUAAAUUCAAGCUGGCAGCCUGGUCCCCAGAUUAUAUUGUAUUUCGAAUUUGAUUUUGUCCCUUUUCCCCCUAAAAAAAGUCAACCCUAAUUUCCUGCUUUAUAAGCUCCUUUUUUUCUUCAUGAUUUGGGAGUUGGGAAAAUUCCAAACUAAGUUGUUUAUUCAUAUAGGAAUAGAGAGGAGUCAUUUAUAUAGAAAUAUAGUUACAGUAAAGAUAACAUUCAAAUAUUAGAGGAGGACACCUAUUCGAUCAGAACUUCGUUUGCUUAGCAUAUUUCUGUCAAUUUUCUUUCGAAGUGCACGAUGGUGGUGAAGUUGCUGCUUCGCUCGUCUCGUCCUAGUCGCUGCUCAAAAAAGGUAAUACAUCUUCCUUUGUUUUGCAUAUCAUUUCGAUUUUUAGUAAUAUGGUGAUGAAUCUGCCUCUGUUGGAUUUAUCAUGCCUUUGUUAUUGCUCGAUUGGAAUGUUGUUAUUCAUGGCUCAUUGUCUUUACUACUGAUAUUUGUGGCUGAUUACUGUCAGGUUACUGUGCAAUUCAUUUGAAGCCUUAAAAAGACCUUUUUGAACAUGAGAAAGCUAAAAAAAAUGUUAAUAGGAAAAUAAGGAAAAAUAUAUGUGUGAAACCAUGCAUUGUGUUGUUCUUUGUGAGUCUGAUUGUUGUAUCUCAUUCAAAAAUCGUAAAUGAUUAUAUAUAAUGUGUGUGAGAAUGGAAUCAUCAUUUGUGUGAAGGAAUUUGAAUGUAUUUAUUUAUCUUGAACUUGCAUCUGAAAUAAGUAUUGCGAGCUUGAGAAUGCUUGGUAAUGGAUUGUCAUAACUUGAAUAUUUGGGUACAUAAUUCAUCCUUUCAUAGAUAAAUCGAGUUUUGUUGUGUACAUUUAUUAAUGAAUCUUGUGUAACAUUGUUUGAGACACUUUUUUUUUGAAAUGCUGAACUUGAGUUUUACUUGAGGACAAACAAAAUUUUAAUUUAGUGGUGUUGAUGAGUCUACAGAUUGGACUCAUUUAGGACUAUAUUUUGAUAGAAAUAGUGUCCCUAAAUACCGGUUUUGUCUCAAUUACUGAUGAAUAACCUUGAGUUUCAAGUAUUUUGAGUUUGAGGCGGACACUACUUGGAAAAAAAGAGCAAAAAGGAUGAAAAUAAUGAAGAAAUGAAGGACUGAGGAUCGCCGAGUCCAUUUGGGGAAUAGUUGAAAGGUCUAAAGAUCGCCUUUUAUUCUAGUGUGUUGAGCAAUGCAGGAAAGGAUCAAUUGAUGGUGAAAAAAAGCAGUCUGUGCAUUACUGAAUAGUUCUGUGAAGUAGUUCUUAUCAUAUAGUAAUCCAGAACGUGAGGAUGCUUUGAAUAAGUGCAAGACAGUGAUGAAGUUGUGCAAGGGUAAAUCCCGACUUGAUCGGUGAUUCUAACUAAUUGCGCUGAGUUAUCCGCUGCAGCACUAAUCUUUGAAAAAUAUAAAUACUAUUUAGUGUUUUAUCUUAGUAUCGAUAUUUAAUAGACUUAUAUCAAUAUUUUUCAAUUUUUGAGCUCUAAGUUUGAGAUGGUUGUUGGAGAAUAACAUGAAGAUCAAAAGGGUUUCAUCUCCAAGGAUUUGGUCUUGAGUCUCUUUGCUUCUUCAUUCUUGACCUGUAACAAGACUUAAAUCUUCGUAACCAUUUGAAUUCAAGAUCAUUUUGGUAUAAAUUUUUGUCACUUGUUCAUGUCUAGAUAAAACCCCAAUUCUUGGGGUGUAAUUUUGUUAAUAUGGGUUAAAUUAGAUGUUGGGAAUUCCUUGUUGAUAGUUUAUUUGUAGUUUUAUUGUUAUUUGAUUUAGUAACUGUGGAUGAAUAUAAUGAUUCUGUAGUUGUAAAUAUAAUCUCACAUAUGUGUUUCGGCGUGCUUGACUGAGAGGUCGAGAAAGUAGGACUACUAAAUUGAUGGCCGGUGGGAGUGGGUCGUCAUGAGGUUCAACUAGAGAAAGUGAACCCUAUUCUCACACCAAACACUCAGCUCGAGAGAGUGAGUGGGUUAAGACGAAGGUUGUUCUUAAUGCGGCAAGUGGGUGUCCAAGAGGAACCCAUUUGAGAUGGGUUCAAUGUCUUCUUAGGGAAAUUGAAAUAUGCUGAAAACUUGGAAAGAAGAAAAAUAAUUAACAAGAAGUGACUUGCAUGAAAUCAUUGCUGACAAAUAGAAUAUGAUUCAAUGGGGAAAUAUAUUUGGAAGAUGAAAUCAUCCAUCAAAUUAUUACACAUACUGACCUCAAUCCAAUGAAGUUUUUGACAGAAAAAACAAGACAUUGAAGGAAAUGUUGAAUUUCGUAGUUAUAAGGUCAGGUUUGCCAAAAAAUUUGUGGGUGUGCUAUCAUUAUAGAAAUAGAAAACAAAAAGUUUGUAUGUUCAGAAAGAGGGGAACAAAAUUUUAUUUAUUGGUAAAGGGAGAAAAAAGUUUAAAAAACAUUUGUUUUUUAAGAAAGGAAGAAACAAAAUAUUUUGUUUGUUCAGGUUUUGUUGUAUCCCUAUAGAGAACUGUUUAUUGCCCCUUCAAGUAUAUACAAGCAAUGACUCUUGAAACAUAGUGAUCUAACAAUUUUCAAUACAAUAUAUUUUAUAUGAGAAA